UUUAAAUAAGCUAUUAAGGGCUAAUGGUGGAUGCCUAGACUGUAAGAGGCGAUGAAGGACGUACUAGACUGCGAUAAGUCUUGGGGAGCUGUCAAGAAGCUUUGAUCCAGGAAUUUCCGAAUGGGACAACCCAGCAUAGUGCGAGCUAUGUUAUCUCGAAAGAGAGGCAAACCCGGUGAAGUGAAACAUCUCAGUAACCGGAGGAAGAGAAAUCAAAUGAGAUUCCGUAAGUAGCGGCGAGCGAAAGCGGAAUAGGACAAACCCAAUGCUUGCAUUGGGGGUUGUAGGACCAAGAUAUGAGACUAAAGAAGAUAGAUUAAAUACCUGGAAAGGUAUAGCAUAGAAGGUGAUACUCCUGUAAUCGAAAUCUUCAAUAGCUCUAAUGGUAUCCUGAGUAGGACGGAACACGUGAUAUUUUGUCUGAAUCUAGGGGGACCACCCUCUAAUCCUAAAUACUACUUACAGAUCGAUAGUGAACAAGUACCGUGAGGGAAAGGUGAAAAGUACCCCAGUGAGGGGAGUGA
rnacentral:rRNA from 1 species